rnacentral:tRNA from 1 species
UCUGAUAUAGCUCAGUGGUAGAGCGCCCGGCUCUGGGACCGGGUGGACGCAGGUUCGAGCCCUGCUAUCAGAU